rnacentral:misc_RNA from 1 species
AGCGUUAGAGACUCAUAAAUGAUAAAUUAAAAUAUAUAUGGCAGGAAGAGGGUGUUGUGGUUGUGGUUGAUAACGGAAAGUUAAGCGACCAAAAACAUACUGCUGUGAUGGCUUGGAAUAAAGCGAGUGAAGGUGACUGGCGACAAAGCAUUUAUUGUAAACUACGAGAAAGAAAUAAAAAAGAAUACGAAAACAUCAAUGAUCUUAUUCAACUACAUAAUCGUCUUUUUGAACAAAGCGAAUCUCUAAGAACGGAAAAUCUGCAUCUAACUCUUCAGAAUGAGAGGCUCCGUCAAGAGAAUACACAACUCCAGAGUCAGGGAGGUGGUGGUGGUGGUGAAGGUGGAGGAUCCUCAUCAGUUGUUGUUCAGGCUUUGGAGCAAAAAGUAUAUAAACUACAAGAAGAGCUGACAAACUUGCACAGACGGAAAGGUGAGAAUGCUCAGCAACUGGUAGAAUUGAACCAGUGCCUUCAGGAACGUGAUAAACUUAUGGCAUCAAAAGACAACAAAUUGGCGGAAUAUGAGUCAGACCUUCUAAUUUUACGAGAAGAUUUGGCAGCAAAAGAGGCAGUGCUUGCAGAUGUCCAGGCUGUUAACCAAGUACUACGAGAUGAAUACCAAACCCUCAACUUAGCCUUUACAGCUCUUGAAGAUAAAUACAGGAAAGCACAGGGGGAAAAUCGAGAGCUGAUUGACCGGUGGAUGGCACAGAAGGCAAAAGAUGCAGAAAAACUUAACAUGGAGAAUGACACAGCACUUAAGAAACGACAAUUGGUGCUUGAGGAGCAACUGAAAGAAGCAGCACGAGAACCCAAACAAGUGAAUACUGAUGAUAAAUUUGCCUGCAGCCCUCCCAUCUGUCUCACUGCUAUUCUACCAGCCAAGGCCUACCUUAAAUUUGAUGCCCAUGAUGGAGAGGUGAAUUCGGUAUGCUUCAGCCCCCAAGGAAGAAUUUUGGCAACUGGGGGUGCUGACCGGAAAUUAAAGUUGUGGGACAUUAGUCGUGCAACGGUAGAAGCCAAAGGAUUACUGACUGGCAGUAAUGCAGGAGUAACAGCUAUAGACUUUGAUGCAGAAGAAUCACUCAUCCUUGGUGCUUCAAAUGACUUUGCCAGCAGAGUGUGGACUGUUGUUGAUCAUAGAUUAAGACACACACUAACUGGGCAUUCUGGUAAAGUAAUGGCAGCAAGAUUUUUAUCUGAAUCGGCUAAAGUGGUUACAGGGUCCCAUGACCGCACCUUGAAGAUAUGGGAUCUCCGGAGUCGAGCCUGCAUUAGAACAAUAUUUGCUGGGUCUAGUUGUAAUGAUCUGGUACCAUCGGACAGCGCUGCAACAACGAUUAUAUCAGGCCAUUUUGAUAAGAAGAUUCGAUUUUGGGAUACCCGAACUGAACAAUCAGCAAAUGAGGUACCACUUCAAGGAAAGAUUACUUCUCUGUCUUUAUCAAGAGAUGGAUUUUAUUUACUAAGUUGUGUGCGUGAUGAUUCCCUUAAAAUCUUGGACCUUCGGAAAAACAAAGUGGUACAUACAUUCACUGGUGAUGGCUUCCAUGUAGGCACAGACUACACAAGGGCAACAUUUUCUCCUGAUGCAAUGUAUGUUGCAGCAGGAACUGGUGAUGGUGCUGUCUAUAUAUGGAAUGUUAAUACAGGCAAGCUAGAAAAGACAUUUAGGGAACAUUCAGCCUGUGUUGUGGCAUGCACUUGGCACCCAAGUGGAAAAUCACUUGUGUCCUGCGAUCGAGCUAAAAAGGUCAUAGCCUGGUCAGAUUUUUAAAGUAAUUUUGAGGAAAAUGUGCUUUACCUCCUGGUGCUCUAGCCAUUGGUGUUUGUUGGAGUUCCCAAAGCUGUGAUAGAGCACAGAAGGGAGCCCAUACACAAGUGAAAAUUGUCAUUUCAUAUGAACCACAUGAUCAUCAAUAACAAAUAACCCAUCAAAGAUGACUGGGCAUUGCACUGGUUAAAUCAAGAUAAUACCAGGUAUGUACAAUUAUAAGCCCUGAAUAUAGGUUGUACUGUAUAGUAGUGCAAGUAGCCAGUACUGAUUAUUGUCCAGCAAAUGGAUGAAGAUCUGAACACAAAGGGUUGAUACCUUCAUCCAGAAUAUACAUAAGUAUUUAAGAAAAAUUGUGGUGUGGCUUAUUGAGGUUGGUGUAUAGUACUAUUCAAGUAUUUCAGUACAAUACUGUAUAACUAAAACAUAUGUAUGGAAACAACUAAAUAAUGAAAAGCUGUUUAGUAAAUGAUUAAUAGUAUAUUUAAAAAAAUAUAUGAAUUUUCAAUAUUAAUCAUGGGUAUUUGUUAUGUUGUUUAUGUCCCCACUAAGUCAUGGAGCAAACACUGCCACACAUGAAACCAAGUGACAACUGUUUACCUCCAGAGAUGGAUAACAGGAUGUUUAUAAUAAUGUGUUUCUUUGCUUUACUUUUUAAAAGUACCACUUUUCUUAUAUUUCUCAAUAACUGAUUUCUGGAAUUCUGAGGUUCUACUGUAUGUUUUUCAUGAUAUCCCAGUGCCAACACCACCACUUACUGUACAUUCAAUGGCUGGUAGUCAAGACACCUGUGUGCCGCAUUUGGUUCGUUGCAUAAAUUGUCAUAACAGGUAUAGGAAAUUCAUAAAUUUAUCCGAUAACCAGGGAAUUUAAUAUAUACAUUUAGCUCGUAAAAAAUCUGGUAAACAAAGAGAAAUUAGAAAUGAGAGAAAAGUAAGUGCAUCAGGUAUCUUAGUAGUUGGCUUUAGUGAACAGUUUCCUUUACAUAACAGAACUUAACCUAGUUAUUAUGUAUUGGUUUGGUUAUACUACAGUAUUUUGGGUUUAUUUUCUACAGGUAAGCUCCAUUUAUUAGUGGUGUAUUUUUAUAAAUUAUUGAAGUAUUUUAUUAACGAUCAGAAAGGUAACAGAUUAUGACCAAACCCAAAAUGUGGUAAAUAAUUUGCAAUACACCUAAUGAGUAGUAAUGAACGAUGGCAUUUUCAAACAAAUUUUUGGUAUUUGUGGUAGUGUGAUGGGAGGGCAUAGCUUUGUUUUGUCCACCAGCCAGACUGUAAACACAACUCACAUGAAUUGGUGAAGUAAUAUAUACUUGCCUAAUAGUCUGGUUCCUUCUCAUAUUGCAUCAUCUCAUCCUCCUAAAAUUUUUAUUAACAAACUUCUGUCGAUAUCAUUCCUUUCCAUUCAUCACCUGUUUAAAGUCAUUGUAUAAUUUAUAAAUGCUAGGUCUUUCUCCACACAUGUAGUUUGUUAAUAAUGUGAGUUUGCCUUGUUCUUGAGUUCAUAGGAACACUCAUUUUCUCUUCAUGGUGUUAAGUUUCACAGGAGAUCAAAUUGCUGUAUGAGCAAAGAUUUAAUAUGUAGAAAGAGUUUUCUUUAUUGUUCAUUCAUUUAUACAAAUAUAUUUCCACAAACAGAUUUUCAAAACAGAAUCUUAAACAUAAAAUAAUCUUUUUAUUUGUCCUUUCCAAAAUAAAUAAACCACUAGUGGAAUUAAUAUCAUUGUGUUGAGAUUAGGCUAGAUUUUAUGUGAAUUUCAAUAAAUAUGAGGUUCUAUUUCCUUUGAUGUGUGAGAGAGCAGACCUUGACCACCACAAGAUGCUGUGCAAGGAAUUCAUACAGAGGAACUAUUUCUUCUAUGGACUCCCAGUUGAUCCCUAGUAAUGAACAAGCUCAGCUGCAGACGUCUCUCCUGUCAGUGGUACAUCGGCUGUUUGUUUGCGAUCAUCAGGUUAGGUGGCGUGGCGGUAGAUAUAAACAUAUGGCUCCAAACAACGGCCACCGUUGUGUUAUUUGUGCGGAAAACAAAGAAAAUAAUGAAGGUAAGGUGUCAUUUCUUCUCAAAAGGCAGAUAAAGGUAAGACCAUAAUUUUGUGGUUGAUUCAUAAGCAGUGACAGUUAAAUUGCAAUUUAAUUUAUCAUUUUAUCACUUAUCUUAUUAGUCAUUUGGGCAGCAGGUUUCUUAUUUGUUACUUUGUUGUGAACUUGAUUGUCCAGUAGCACCCAUCAAGUGACCCCCCCUCUUUUUAUAGUUGUUUCUAGUGUAUUUUUAUCUCUUCAAAUGUACAAUUAGAAAUGUCAGAAACCUAUAGAAGAAAGGUAAGAGCGCCGAUUGUUAACAUUGCUACAUGCUAAAUAGUGGUCUGUGAGGCGAAAUGCAAACUUAAGUUGGAUGUAACUUUUUUCCUAUUAAUUUCCUACAAUUUUGUGUUGCAUAUCUGGAAAGUGUAGAUAGAACUACCCAAAAUUAAAAUAUAAAUGUAGGGUUACUUAUUGGGUCUUAAACUUCAAUUUAACCAGUCAUUUGAAAGCACAUAUCCACUCACAUUUAUGAUAAAUUUAAGUCAUACCUGUAGUUACAACCCUGUUACUCAGUGCCAAUAUGGAACAAAUACCUUUUUAACCCCUGCAUUUUCCUUCCAUAUAACAUAGUAGUAUAUGUAAUUGAUAUUGUGCUUGAGCAGUUGCUUCAUGUUUGUAAUAUACAUUUUCAAUUGCAAUUAUAACAGAAUUUAAAGAUCACCUUGAGUAAUUUAGUGGUACUUUCCAGGUCCUUUACAGCAUCCGGGUACACCAGUUUCCUCCUGUACUUACACUGAACAAUAUAGUCAUUGACAAUGCUAACAAAGAACAGACAAUCUGCCUAAAUGACUAAUAAGGUAAUAAGUGCUGAAAUGAUAAAUACUGUAUUGAAAAUAGAUAAUUAAAUGAAUGCCGAUGGUAGAGAAAGUAAAUCCAACGGGAAAUACUGGAGUUACCAUUAAAAAAAAAACCGCCAGUGUCGGGCCUAAAGAAAAUAAUAUAAGGGCAUUUUAGAUUCAUAUGAUAUUCCUUGGUUUAUAUGUACAGUAGUCUGUCAGUGGUGUUGUCUGCACGAAACACAAAUGCCCAUGGAUACAGCAAUUUGUGGUUAGGUAUUUGGGCACAUUUUCACCUUAUUCUUGGGUUAUAUUAGCUCUUGCUUCUAAAUACUUUCACUUGCAACUGUCUAUAUUUCAGUUUAUACUUUCAAUGUAUUUUAAAAAGCUGUAAUAAUGCCAAGGAGGAUGGGGCUUCAAAGAUUACGUGCUCACACCCCUCUGAGCAGUCAUAAAUAAAAAACUGGGUACUCAGACCUGACGCCUUCGUCCGGUGUUAUUAAUUUAAAAGAACCAUUGGUGUAACGUGGGUAAUAAAACACAACAUAGAAAA